CGCGGCCUAUCAGCUUGUUGGUGGGGUAGUGGCUUACCAGGGCUUUGACGGGUAGCCGGCCUGAGAGGGUGACCGGCCACAUUGGGACUGAGAUACGGCCCAGACUCCUACGGGAGGCAGCAGUGGGGAAUAUUGCACAAUGGGCGGAAGCCUGAUGCAGCAACGCCGCGUGCGGGAUGACGGCCUUCGGGUUGUAAACCGCUUUCGCCUGUGACGAAGCGUGAGUGACGGUAAUGGGUAAAGAAGCACCGGCUAACUACGUGCCAGCAGCCGCGGUGAUACGUAGGGUGCGAGCGUUGUCCGGAUUUAUUGGGCGUAAAGGGCUCGUAGGUGGUUGAUCGCGUCGGAAGUGUAAUCUUGGGGCUUAACCCUGAGCGUGCUUUCGAUACGGGUUGACUUGAGGAAGGUAGGGGAGAAUGGAAUUCCUGGUGGAGCGGUGGAAUGCGCAGAUAUCAGGAGGAACACCAGUGGCGAAGGCGGUUCUCUGGGCCUUUCCUGACGCUGAGGAGCGAAAGCGUGGGGAGCGAACAGGCUUAGAUACCCUGGUAGUCCACGCUGUAAACGGUGGGUACUAGGUGUGGGGUCCAUUCCACGGGUUCCGUGCCGUAGCUAACGCUUUAAGUACCCCGCCUGGGGAGUACGG
rnacentral:rRNA from 1 species